rnacentral:tRNA from 1 species
GCUCUCGUGGUGUAGUGGUUAUCACGUCUGCUUUACACGCAGAAGGUCCCAGGUUCGAGCCCUGGCGGGAGCA